rnacentral:ribozyme from 12 species
CAAGAAAAGAACAAAGACAAAAAAGAGCAAAAUCAUGUUCCUUACAUCCUUUUUCUUUUCUUGAGGCGUUUUCAUUUUUGGUUUUGUUCUGUGUU